UACGAGGGGGGGCAAAUGUUGUUCGGAAUCACUGGGCGUAAAGGGAGCGUAGGCGGGUUUCUAAGUCAGGUGUUUAAUCCCGGGGCCCAACCCCGGACAGGCACUUGAAACUGGGAAUCUUGAAUAGUGGAGAGGUCAGUGGAAUUGGGGGGUGUAGCGGUGGAAUGCGCAGAUAUCAGGAGGAACACCAAUAGCGAAGGCAGCUCGCUGGGACGGUACUGAGCUAAGGCGCGAAAGCGUGGGGAGCGAACAGG
rnacentral:rRNA from 1 species